rnacentral:lncRNA from 1 species
CCUGCAAAUCCAUUUUCUUUCGGUGUAACAUCUAGCUGUUGCUGCACCAUCAUCGCUGAGGUAGGCACAUCCUUCACUCCCUCUCAUGCCAAACCUGCAACAAAGGGAUUAACCAUUAUGUAGUCAUGUGAUUUCUUCCUUGCCCAUGGACACCUUUAAACAAAAAUUCUACUUGUCUAAAGUGCUGCAAGGUGUACUAUGGCACAGUUCUCUCUUGCUAGUGUUGAGAUACCUAUACCAAUUUGGAUCAAAAGAGUUUCUUUUCCAAGAAUUUGUACAUGUUAAACUGGCAUUAGGUUGGUUACAUGUAAUCAGUGGAGCUAUCAGUUCGUAUAAACCAAUGGUUUUCAAUUAGGGGUGAUUUUGCUUCCAAACCAAGGGACACUUGACAGUAUUUGGAUUUUUUUUAUUGUCUCAAGCGGAGGCAGAGGUGAGUAGGGUGGAUAGUUUAUCCAGGGGUGCUGCCAAUGCCCUACAAUGCACAAAGAAAAGUGCCCCUUUUCCACGACAGAGAGGUAUUCAGUACAAAAUAUCAGUAGUGUUUCUAUUGAGAAACUAACAUAAACUAAGUGGCUAAGUGACUGAGAGUCACCAUUUGGGAUGUGUACACACAUUUUCCAAAUUAUAAUGCUAAAGAUAUGAAGUCCAGGACAAACUGCAUAACAGUGAAAUUGCAAAUAAAAUCAGAUGAAAAUGAACGUCAAAUUGAAAUUGAACUGUAAAAGACAUCAGAAAAUAGUCAACAAAAAGUUUAAAGAAGAGUCAUAUAAUUGGACAGGAUAGUUUAUAAUCAGAGAAAAGUUUAAAUUGGGGUGGGGGGAGUUGUGUAUAUGAAUCUCAGGUCUUUAUUUUCAAAAUAGCCAACUAGGAGAUCUGUUCCCUUACAUCUUAAUUUCCAACCUUCAUGGUUGCCUCCUUACAUGAAUCUCAAUAUAUAUUCAAUCCCCCCUCCAUCUUUCUAACAUGUGCAAAACUCUUGGGCUCUAGAGAAAUUUAGCUAAAGCAUAAGUCCUAGAGAAGGCUGCACUAUCUAAAUUUAAGUGAUCCCAGAAAAAAAUAAACUCACGAUUUGGUAAAUGUAGCUCCAUCUACCCAUUGUCCUGUUCGAUUUUUUGCCAUCUUCAGUCCAAUCCAGUGAUCAGAACUGCAUUUAUAC